rnacentral:misc_RNA from 1 species
AAAUACCUUCCCUGUGAAAUAAACAUAUGACAUGUGCAAGAACUUACACCGGAGAAUCUUACAAUUAAGCACAAAUACAAAAGAUAGAUCAGUUCAAAUAAAGUAAUCAUCUCUCUGUUAGUCUGUUAUACCAAUGCCAUCAUCCCCGAGACCUUCGAAUCUGUUCUCUUCUUUUCUUUUCGUUUAUCCUUUUUGUUUUCCUGGCAUGGCUGUAUUUGCAUUUAUUUGAUUUAUUCCCAAAUUCGCCCUUGGGGAAGGAAGGGUCAGAAGGAGGUGAGAUCUCCACACACAGGGCUUGGAUUCUUUCGUCAGUUGGUCGCACUCUCCAUCUUUUCUUGCACUUGCUCAUAAGCAUUAAGCAGGUCUGCCCGUUUAUUUGCUACUUCUACUAGAGUUUCAAGAGCUGUCUCAAAUGACGAUUGGGCAGCUCGAAGCUUUGGACAGACCAGCACUCCAAACAUGGAUAAUGACUUGAGUCGCUCUUUUCGAGCUUGAUCCUCCACCGUGCGUGGUGAUUCGGUAGCUUCCGGUGCUUCUGACGCUUCUUCCUGAACAGAAUUUGACGAACCAUCCUGAUUCAGAACUUUUGGGCUAUUGGAUUUCUUCUGUAAUAGCGUAUCCUCCUCAGAACAGCUCUUUGGACUCUCAGAUGAUGCCCACUUACACAAACUGAAAUGCGAUUCCUCCGAUUUAGGCCCAGCAUCCUGAUGGUUUAAUUGCAAUGUAGUGGCAGCAGAAUGAGAUUUGAGAUCAAACAAUGCACUACUGAUACGUGAAGCGCCCAUGGAAUGCCUAGCACUCGCCAGCUCCAGCCAUCCCUCGCGAAGUGAUGAUGACAGAGAAUUCAUAAGAUGUAGAUAGCUGUCCGUCGAAUCCAUCAAUUCCAAAACAAUCUUAUCUUUUACGUUGUAGGAACUCUGCAUUUCUCCAUUCACCAUGUUGAAUCACAA